rnacentral:rRNA from 1 species
GCAAAACUUUUAACGUGCCUACCUCAGAGCAGGCGAGAUCAC